CCGAGUUUACAACUCCCAAACCCCUGUGAACAUACCUGUUUUGUUGCUUCGGCGGUGCCCUCGCUCUCGUUGGCGAGGCCCGCCAGAGGACCCAAACAAACUCUUUGAUUUUGAUCUAGGAUUUUACUUCUGAGUGAUAUACAAAAUAAAUCA
rnacentral:misc_RNA from 1 species